AUUGAACGCUGGCGGCAUGCUUUACACAUGCAAGUCGAACGGUAACAGGCCGCAAGGUGCUGACGAGUGGAGAACGGGUGAGUAAUGCAUCGGAACGUGCCCAGUCGUGGGGGAUAACGCAGCGAAAGCUGCGCUAAUACCGCAUACGAUCUCUGGAUGAAAGCGGGGGACCGAAAGGCCUCGCGCGACUGGAGCGGCCGAUGUCAGAUUAGGUAGUUGGUGGGGUAAAGGCCCACCAAGCCAACGAUCUGUAGCUGGUCUGAGAGGACGACCAGCCACACUGGGACUGAGACACGGCCCAGACUCCUACGGGAGGCAGCAGUGGGGAAUUUUGGACAAUGGGCGCAAGCCUGAUCCAGCAAUGCCGCGUGCAGGAAGAAGGCCUUCGGGUUGUAAACUGCUUUUGUACGGAACGAAACGGUCUGGGUUAAUACCCUGGGCUAAUGACGGUACCGUAAGAAUAAGCACCGGCUAACUACGUGCCAGCAGCCCGGUAA
rnacentral:rRNA from 1 species